rnacentral:rRNA from 1 species
GGUUACCUUGUUACGACUUCCUGAGCCAUGAUCAAACUCUGGUUACCUUGUUACGACUUCACCCCAGUCAUGAAACACAAAGUGGUAAUCGUCCUCCCGAAGGUUAGACUAACUACUUCUUUUGCAUCCCACUCCCAUGGUGUGACGGGCGGUGUGUACAAGGCCCGGGAACGUAUUCACCGCAGUAUUCUGACCUGCGAUUACUAGCGAUUCCGACUUCAUGGAGUCGAGUUGCAGACUCCAAUCCGGACUACGACAUUCUUUAAGGGGUCCGCUCCACAUCACUGUCUCGCUUCCCUCUGUAAAUGCCAUUGUAGCACGUGUGUAGCCCUACACGUAAGGGCCAUGAUGACUUGACGUCGUCCCACCUUCCUCCGGUUUGUCACCGGCAGUCUCCUUAGAGUGCCCAACUGAAUGCUGGCAACUAAGGACAAGGGUUGCGCUCGUUGCGGGACUUAACCCAACAUCUCACGA